rnacentral:lncRNA from 14 species
AGGUCUUGUGUGGUCACUUUGGGGACCUGGCAGUAGGUGCAAGGGUGGUGGUCAUACUCUGCAGCUGGAGUUGUCUCUGUGGGGGAGCAUCAUGAUCUAAGUGCUUCAUGCCAUAUUGCUGUGCUCAGAGGAGCACUUUCCUUGAAUGGGAUUAGCUGGAGAAAGGGCACAGCUGACAAGUCUGGUUGUGCUGCCUGCUGACAGCAGCUCACAGUGUGAGUGUGUGCUUCCUGCUCCAUUAGCCAGGGCCAUGUGGGUCUGUCCUCACACCAAGGGGCCAUGUUUCUCUGCACUUGUCUGUCCCUGCUCUCCCCCCAGCCUGCAGCAGAGUGCUGACUGCUUCCUGGCCCUGCUGCCGGAGCUGCUGGCUGUGCCAGUCGACAGUGAGAUGAGACUCUGCCAGCAAAGCCUCCUGUGCUUCACCCAGCUCUGUGAGAGCCUAGACACAACAGACCCUUCUAUCUCUGCACACUUCUACACCAGGCUGCAAGAGGACCAUCAGCCCCUGCUGAACAGACUCCUUCAAGGAUCCAUCUCAGAGCAGCCUGCUCUUCGAGGUGCAGCAGUGGAAGGCAAGUCAGCCCAUGACCAGAACCCAUGUGUGGCAGACCUCUUCCUGGCUGCAUUGGCUGCUGCAUGCAGCAUCACCCUGGAGAAAAACAGCUGUUGGGAGGCCAAGCAGCAGGUUGCUCACGCAGUAGCUGAAAAGCUUAUGGAAGGAGAGAGUCAGCAGCUUGCAAGACUGCUGGGGAGACUGGAGGACCCAGGCUGCUCCUUGAAUGUCCUGAAGGUAAUGGCCCUGUCCUUUUAUCUGGCUCUGCCCAGAGGUGCCUGGGCCUUUGCUCUGGAAUUAGGAGCAUGGCAAAGAGGGAACUUUGAGCUUAGCCCUCAAUGGUUCCCAUCUGCCUGGUGUCAGUUGUUGAAUAAAUGA